AAGCAGUAGGUGUCCCCCGUCAACGGCCGGUUAAUCUGUUCAGCAUGAUCCCUGUCUAGUCAUAACAAUAGGGGGGUCGGGGCGGGGGUGCAUGUGUGGAAUAUCGGCCCCACGGUGGGAUUGUCUCACGUGCACAUUAGCUUCUCCAUCUCGUCCAGGCGCUUUCUCGUUGACGUAGGCCGGGCAGGGUGAACGCUGAGUCUGUCAACUUAAGUACCGUGCUCUAAAAGGUUUUUUAUUGGGGGGAAGAGGGGGAGCGGGAGGUGUUUGACAGGUCCCCGAAGUUCAAGCUCAGCCGUUUUAUGACCGCAGAAAGACAUCAGUUAUGGAACUUACGAUAUGAUGGGUGCAAAGGCAGGAAAUAAAAGAAAGAACUUAAUGAAAGUUUAAUCUUCUGGGGAAUUGGUGCCCCUCAGAGGCAUAAAUUGAGAGACCUAAAGCUAAAUUUCUCUGUCAAAGGCUGGCAUCUCGCUCAUGCACAUUUUACAGCUAUACUAGAAAUAUAUAUAUAUGUAUAUAUGUUUUAAAACAGCUAUUUCUAUUCUUGAGUACCCACAGUUGCUGAUGGAGGCUGGGAAGUGCUCGCAGUAGAUUUAUUAGGGAGGUUAUUGCUUCUCUGUACAGCAUGCGUUACAGAAGAGUUAUAUGAUCAUGAUUCCUUAUGCAGUUGUCUGGUCCUGAUUCUGGCUCUACAUGGCUGCUAUCUGAUUGGUUGAGAAGCUGGGGGGAAAAAAAAUCCUUGGGAACUGUCACAUUAGGCUUCCAUCUCUUGGAUCCCGGAUGCUGAAUCUGUCUCGUGGUUUUGUAUAAAAACUAUUAACACUGGUUCAUGGGUGAGCUGUGACCUGCAAUCCUUGUUACAUCCGAAGCAUAAUCUAGAAGUCAUGUGGCCAAGCCUGGGCUGACUUCCCCACGUCUCCAGCAACGAAAAGAGGGUUUGUGGUCAGAGGAGUAAGCAGAGAAGAUGACAGAGACACGGAGGAGGGACACAUCGGUAGGAAGAUGCCUUGGUCCCCGUCUCUUUUUCCGGCACCGGCGCCAGUGGAUGGGUGAGGUCCUGCUGGGGCAGUCUUUAUAUCGCGUCCCCCGUCAGGCCCAGCACAUCCGGGCCUUGAUCGGAGAUAACGCGGAACACUCGGCACGUCAUCGGAAGACCUCUUCCGGUUGAUUAGACCUCUUCCGGUUGAUUAGACCUCUUCCGGUUGAUUAGACCGCCUCAGGAACAGGCCGCAAGCGCACUGGCGCGACACACGUGCUGUGUGUCGGUUGCCGCAGGAGCGUUCUGUCUGCCUGGGAAAUAGAACGCGUUUGUGGGGAGGAUAUCAUUGUGCGAUAGAGGCCAGCACCAUCUGUGACGUACGCGAUGAAAACAGUAUAACGCCAACGCGGAAUUGUUGAAAGAGUGACAGCGGUAGUCGCUUUCAAGAGAGACAUUGAGGGCCAGAGAAGUAAAGCAAGUUGCUUCGCGCUGAAAACAGAGAAGAGCAGAGGGACUUGGACUCGAACCCCUGACUUCAGACCUUGUGCUGCUCAUGCUGGCAUACUGCUUCGUGAACAGGAAAUAAAACGCUUUAGCUACCAGAGAAAGAAGGAAAACGUGCCUUGAUUAGACACUGCGGUAAAGACGAAACUAUAGCCUUGAAAUUUCAAAGCUAAGCUCUUGGAAGGAAGAGCAUCCUGUUGUAAACAAAUAUUUUGAUGAUUGAAGCCAGCUUCUCAUCUUGAAAACACUUUUUUUCAAUUCAGGCUCAGUUUAAUGGGAACCCCAGGACUGAAGAUGAGGUGGUUAGAUAGUGUCUCCAACUCAAUGGACAUGAAUUAGAGCAAACUCCAGGGGACAGUGGAGGACAGAGGAGCCUGGUGCUGUUGUGCUGAGUAUUUCCUUGUUGGCGACUUGAUGGGGGCUGCUGUGCAUUGUGGGAUAUUCCGAAGCAUCUCUGGCAUCCAUGCAGUAGAGGCCAGUAGCCGCCACAUCUCCAGGCCUAACGGUCAAACUCACUUCAUCUGGGGAAAUCUGGUCACACUCCCGCUUACCAGGCCUCAGUGGCCAUCCUGAGAGCCCCCGGGUCAGGAGAGCUGCUCUUCUGCCUCGACUGUAGUUUUCUUUGGUGCUGUCUUCUCUGGGCAGAUUCUCAGGCCACCCAAAGCCACAAAAGAAAAGAGCAGAAGAAGGAAACGCUGUGAAACAUGGGCGUGAUCAUACGCACACGUGUCUGUCGGUGUCACACGCAAAGACACACAUGUAGGCAUCACAGUUAUGUAUCCUUACUUUCGUUAGAUCCUGUACAGAAUUUUGAAAGCUGCAAGUCUGGAAAAUUAUGUUUUAAAUCGUUUAUUUGUGCAGUUUUUAAAGUUGAUAGCAUUCUUUUUUAUUUAAAAAAAUUUUUAUUGAGAAAUAAUUGACAAAUAUCACUGUAUGUAUUUAAAGUGUACAGGGUGAUACUCUGAUGCACAUUGUGGAAAGAUUACAAAGAUCAAAAUAAUUAAUAUGUCCAUCACCUUACAUAGUUCUUUUUUUUUUUUUUGCAUUUUUUGUUGGUAUUCUUUUAUUUGUAGAAGUUUAAAUUCAUCAUUGAGGAAAUAUACGCCUUGGUGUUCAGAAAAGAUGCUAUAAAGACAUUUUUGAAUAAGUCCUGGUAAAGCCAUAGUUAUGCUCAGAGGGAGAGACUGGAAGCAAUUUGAAGUUAAACUUUCUCUGAUACUAUAAACUUCAUCUUUCUUGGAGGAGAACUUAAAACUCUGCGGGCAGGUCAUUUUAGGAACUUCUGUGUCUUUCCCGGAGAAGAGGCAAGGUGGAGGGUGCCUCCUUUUGAGGUGAACCUUUUGACAGGGCUCUGGUUCAGAAGAGCAGCUGUCAAAGUGGGGGCCUCAGAGCAACAUCUUUACAUCAUCUGGAAACUUGUUAGAAUCUCAGGAUCUUGGGCCUCCGUCCAGCAUUUUCAGAUGUCCAAGGAUGAGCACGCACAGUGGAGUUUCAGAAGACCUGCACAGAGGAUCUUCUGUGUGCUAGAGACUGGCCUAUGGAGUCCAGCAACUGUCUUAGCUAGGAUCAUGUUAAGAUUUUUUUUUCUUUUGAUUUUACUUUGUUUAUAUGUUUUCUGUGUUCUGAUACUUCUUAUGCCUUCAGCUCAGUGGGGAGUUAAGGGCUGGACAAGUGGGUUGGUGGGGGGUUGUCCAUGAUUGAAAAAAGAGGUGCUUUUAGUGAACAUUGUUGGUUCUGUUGUAACAUCCAUUUUCACCUUCUAACAGUUCCCAGACUCGUCUUUGUUUACUUCUCCUCAACAUAGUUAAUGCAUUCUGGAUGAAACAGCCUAUCCCAGCUUUAGGGACGCGGUCUCAUUGGCUCAGCCUAUCAGGAUAUAUUAUUACUUCACCAUAUCUAUUGGUUUAAAGUUGGGUAUUAUCUUAGUCAGUCUGGGCUUCUAUAACAAAAUACCAUAGACUGGGUGGCUUAAAAAACAACAUAAAUUAAUUUAUCACAGUGCCAGAGGGCAGCAAGUCCGAGAUCAAGACAGCAGCAUGUUUGAUAUCUGGUGAGAGCACACUUUCUGGCUCACUGAUAGUCUUCUUGCUGUGUCUUCACAUGGCAGAAGUUGAGGGGAGCUCUCCAGGGUGUCUUCUGUAAGGGCACUAAUCCCAUUCAUGAGGGCCCCACCCUCAUGACCGCAUCACCCUCAAAGGCACCACCUCCAAAUACUGUUACAGUGGGGAUUAGGUUUCCACAUAUGAGUUCUGUGGGGACACGUGCAUUCAUUCUGUAGCAGGCAUGUGACUUAAGGCAAGCCAUCAGGUCAAAUCUUUGCACUGUUCUUUGGAAUGCUGGGUCACACACUCUUUUUCCUUUUUAAAAAGAAUGAGGAGACAUGUGGUAUUGUUACUGGCUGACUUGCAUGACCGCAGUGUCAAGGGGAGU
ensembl:lncRNA